AGAUGGCGACCGGCGCACGGGUGAGUAACACGUAUCCGACCUGCCGAUAACUCGGGGGUAGCCUUUCGAAAGAAAGAUUAAUACCCGAUGGCAUAAUUAGACCGCAUGGUCUUAUUAUUAAAGAAUUUCGGUUAUCGAUGGGGAUGCGUUCCAUUAGGCAGUUGGUGAGGUAACGGCUCACCAAACCUUCGAUGGAUAGGGGUUCUGAGAGGAAGGUCCCCCACAUUGGAACUGAGACACGGUCCAA
rnacentral:rRNA from 1 species